rnacentral:rRNA from 1 species
AAACUUUCAGCAACGGAUCUCUUGGUUCUG